rnacentral:misc_RNA from 1 species
AUUAAUAAUAAUAAUAAUAAUAAUAUAACUCAUUAUCUGUAAUCGACUCUGCCCAGGAUGAGCAUGCGUCCUCUCUCUUUGCACAAGAGAGGAAGGGAGAGAAAAAUUACUAUAAAAUAAAUGAGAUUUGUUUGCUCAGUUUUAUAUAUUAUAUAACCCACCAUUGUCGGCUGUAUCACAUUUGUUGUAAAAAUGCGACUUUUAAGAUCUUUCCCUCUCCAUAUUCACACUCAACACCCAAACACCACUUCAGCGCAUUCUCUACACACUCAAUUAAUUUUGUUCAUACUAGUUAGUGGUUGUUUAUCUGCAGGAAUAUUUCUUUAGUGGGUUGGUAACUUCAAUUAAAAAAAUUAUAAAAAAUUGAGGUUGUUUUAUUAUAUUGUGAGUUGGAGUCAACUUGUGUAUUUGGUUCUUGUUUUUGUUGGGCUACAUAUCAAAAACAAUACUGACUGGUUUACUAGUUUACAAGUUAAUCAAAGCAAAUUGAAGUACGUAAUGAAAGCAUUUAUAGAAUAUGUAUGUGCUAUAGCACUGACUAUAUUUUAUAAAGAAGUGAACAAGGUUACAGAUGAAUAUUUAGUACUAGUCGCAUUUUGCUAUUCCCUACAUUGCACACUUUUAUUUAGGAUUAUUUCUCUACUUGGAUUUUGCACCCACAAUCAUUUUCUGGGAAAUAUUUGAGUAUAGGCAUUGCUAGGGGUGACAAAAGUGGCAUAAUAGCAUGUUGCUGUGGUGGCUUCAUUUUUAUAUUGAAGAAUUAUUUUUAGUUUUUAUAUAUGACGCAUGAGGAAUCCAUCAAUGAACAAUAGAUACUGAUAUUGGUGGUACAGGAGGAAGUGAAGGCAUUGAG